AGUCAUGAAAGGGUAACAUUGUGCUGCUUCUUGAAAGUUAAAACUUAAAACCCCCACCAACACAAACAAGCGACAACAACAAACAGAUCUCAAGCACAUCAUGCCGUUUUUUUCUCCUGGACUUCGAGAGGCUUUGAUUAAUGUGGUUUAGACUACUUUCAUAAGUAUUGAUAUACAUUUCUUCCAGGAUAUGAGAAGCUGUAAGGCCGGGCAUUGAUUUCUAAAUGCAGAUAUUUACACGUGCUCUAGUGGAUAUGUAACUUAUCGUUAGGGGCCUCAAGUUAUCUCACAUUUUCUGAAAUGUAUGGCUAUAUAUAGCCUCCUGGUUAAUGAAUAAGAUUUAAGCUUUUCCUUUUGAUUAAAA